rnacentral:rRNA from 1 species
UACGUAGGGUGCAAGCGUUGUCCGGAAUUAUUUGGGCGUAAAGAGCUCGUAGGCGGUCUGUCGCGUCUGCUGUGAAAACUCAGGGCUUAACCCUGAGCUUGCAGUGGGUACGGGCAGACGUAGAGUGCGGUAGGGGAGACGUGGAAUUCCUGGUGUAGCGGUGAAAUGACGCAGAUAUCAGGAGGAACACCGGUGGCGAAGGCGGGUCUCUGGGCCGUAACUGACGCUGAGGAGCGAAAGCAGUGGGGAGCGAACAGG